GAUGAACGCUGGCGGCGUGCCUAAUACAUGCAAGUCGAGCGAACGGACGAGAAGCUUGCUUCUCUGAUGUUAGCGGCGGACGGGUGAGUAACACGUGGAUAACCUACCUAUAAGACUGGGAUAACUUCGGGAAACCGGAGCUAAUACCGGAUAAUAUUUUGAACCGCAUGGUUCAAAAGUGAAAGACGGUCUUGCUGUCACUUAUAGAUGGAUCCGCGCUGCAUUAGCUAGUUGGUAAGGUAACGGCUUACCAAGGCAACGAUGCAUAGCCGACCUGAGAGGGUGAUCGGCCACACUGGAACUGAGACAAGGUCCAGACUCCUACGGGAGGCAGCAGUAGGGAAUCUUCCGCAAUGGGCGAAAGCCUGACGGAGCAACGCCGCGUGAGUGAUGAAGGUCUUCGGAUCGUAAAACUCUGUUAUUAGGGAAGAACAUAUGUGUAAGUAACUGUGCACAUCUUGGCGGUACCUAAUCAGAAAGCCACGGCUAACUACGUG
rnacentral:rRNA from 1 species